rnacentral:rRNA from 1 species
AGUGAACGCUGGCGGUAGGCCUAACACAUGCAAGUCGAACGGCAGCACAGUAAGAGCUUGCUCUUACGGGUGGCGAGUGGCGGACGGGUGAGGAAUAUAUCGGAAUCUACUUUUUCGUGGGGGAUAACGUAGGGAAACUUACGCUAAUACCGCAUACGACCUACGGGUGAAAGCAGUGGAACUUCGCACCUUGCGCGAUUGAAUGCGCCGAUGUCGGUUUAGCUAGUUGGCGGGGUAAAGGCCCACCAAGGCGACGAUCCGUAGCUGGUCUGAGAGGAUGAUCAGCCACACUGGAACUGAGACACGGUCCAGACUCCUACGGGAGGCAGCAGUGGGGAAUAUUGGACAAUGGGCGCAAGCCUGAUCCAGCCAUGCCGCGUGGGUGAAGAAGGCCUUCGGGUUGUAAAGCCCUUUUGUUGGGAAAGAAAAGCAGCAGGUUAAUACCCCGCUGUUCUGACGGUACCCAAAGAAUAAGCACCGGCUAACUUCGUG